CCUACGGUGUGCAGCAGUGGGGAAUCUUGCGCAAUGGGCGAAAGCCUGACGCAGCGACGCCGCGUGAGGGAUGAAGGUCUUCGGAUCGUAAACCUCUGUCAGCAGGGAAGAACGGUCACUGUGCUAAUCAGCAGUGAAUUGACGGUACCUGCAAUGGAAGCACCGGCUAACUCCGUGCCAGCAGCCGCGGUAAUACGGAGGGUGCGAGCGUUAAUCGGAAUUACUGGGCGUAAAGCGCUCGUAGGCGGUAUGUCAAGUCAACGGUAAAAUUGCGGGGCUCAACCCCGUCGAGCCGUUGAAACUGGCAGACUUGAGUUGGCGAGAAGUACGCGGAAUGCGCGGUGUAGCGGUGAAAUGCAUAGAUAUCGCGCAGAACUCCGAUUGCGAAGGCAGCGUACCGGCGCCAGACUGACGCUGAGGCACGAAAGCGUGGGGAUCGAACAGGAUUAGAUACCCGAGUAGUC
rnacentral:rRNA from 1 species